rnacentral:tRNA from 4 species
CCGGAAUAGCUCAGUUGGUAGAGCAGAGGACUGAAAAUCCUCGUGUC